GCCUAGUUAGCUUAGUUGGUAGCGCGUCUGCCUUGUAAGCGGCUAAGGGCCGCGGGUUCGAUUCCCGCCCGGGGCG
rnacentral:tRNA from 1 species